CUCUACUCUUUAAAGCUAGAGUAUCAUAUCUGUUUUUUAAAACAUUAGGAGUAUUGCAGACUUGCAAUACAUUUCAGCCUUUGCUCAUGUCUUUGUUUCACGUGCGCAACAGAAAUAUUAAAGCAAAGAAGCCAGAGGAGUUUAAUGCAAAAAAAAAAAAGUUGGGGUUCUUUAGACUGUCACCCCCCAAAACAAAGGUUUAUUCAUUUACAUUUUUUGGUUAUCAUUCUAGUGGUCUUUGAGAAAUGCAACGUUACUUGCCACAUACUAUAACAUAGUCUGUUUCAGUUUUGAAAGCCUUUGGCUUAUCAGAGGCCUGCUUAGUUAAAGGGGCUUGCUAACGACCGUAACCACUAGAACAUAUAGCAGUGGUUAUAGUGCAAGGUGCACCUCCCAGUCUUGUUAAAUUGUUUCCAAUCAGUUUGACAAACACUUGUCACCUAAAGCCACAGCCCCCUUGCUAUUAAGGUAACGAGGAGUUUUACUUCCACACUAUCAUUAAUGUUUUGGCAGUCGUAAUGGGUUGUGAAAGCCAGGAGUGGCAUGGCACAUAAUUUCCAUUUUGUUUCCUUAACGUUUCCUUGCUUAUUUUUAACACACAUUUUGUGUAGGUUAAUAUAACGGUUGUCUAACUUAUUACUUUCUGAUAUCUAUAGCAUUGUUGAG